rnacentral:rRNA from 1 species
CUGGCGGCAUGCCUUACACAUGCAAGUCGAACGGCAGCACGGGAGCAAUCCUGGUGGCGAGUGGCGAACGGGUGAGUAAUAUAUCGGAACGUGCCCAGCGUUGGGGGAUAACGUAGCGAAAGCUACGCUAAUACCGCAUACGAUCUAUGGAUGAAANCGGGGGAUCGCAAGACCUCGCGCGAUUGGAGCGGCCGAUAUCAGAUUAGGUAGUUGGUGAGGUAAAGGCUCACCAAGCCGACGAUCUGUAGCUGGUCUGAGAGGACGACCAGCCACACUGGGACUGAGACACGGCCCAGACUCCUACGGGAGGCAGCAGUGGGGAAUUUUGGACAAUGGGCGCAAGCCUGAUCCAGCAAUGCCGCGUGCAGGAUGAAGGCCUUCGGGUUGUAAACUGCUUUUGUACGGAACGAAACGGUGAGCUCUAAUACAGUUUGCUAAUGACGGUACCGUAAAAAUAAGCACCGGCUAACUACGUG